GGUUCGGUAGCUCAGUCGGUAGAGCGGGGGAUUCUUAAUCCCAUGGUCACGGGUUCAAGUCCUGUCCGAACCA
rnacentral:tRNA from 1 species